rnacentral:rRNA from 1 species
ACCCGCUGAACUUAAGCAUAUCAAUAAGCGGAGGAAGAGAAACCAACAGGUAUUGCCUUAGUAACGGCGAGUGAAGCGGCAAAAGCUCAAAUUUGAAAUCUGCCAACAGGCCGAAUUGUAAUUUGUAGAGGAACGUUCGGUGACGCCUAAGUCCGAGUCUUCUGGAAGGAAGCGCCAAUGAGGGUGAGAGCCCCGUAGGAUGACUGGCUGAGCCUUGUGUACGUCCUUCGAAGAGUCGAGUUGUUUGGGAAUGCAGCUCAAAAUUGGUGGUAAAUUCCAUCUAAAGCUAAAUAUUGGCCAGAGACCGAUAGCGCACAAGUAGAGUGAUCGAAAGAUGAAAAGCACUUUGGAAAGAGAGUGAAACAGUACGUGAAAUUGUUGAAAGGGAAGCGCUUGCAAGCAGACUUGUUUAUUGGGUUCAGCAACUGUUUUCAGUUGUGUACUUCCCAGUUUUACAGGCCAACAUCAGUUUCUUGGGUUGGAUAAAAUCAUUGGGAACGUGGCUCUUUCGGGAGUGUUAUAGCCCUUUGAAAAAUACAGCCACAGGAGACUGAGGAUAGCCUUUUGAAGGAUGUUGGCGUAAUGCUUGCUAGCGGCCCGUCUUGAAACACGG